rfam:Loxodonta africana unplaced genomic scaffold scaffold_30, whole genome shotgun sequence.
GCAGCAGUAGUUCAGUGGCAGAAUUCUCAUCUUCCAUGCAGGAGACCCAGGUUUGAUUCCUGGCCAGUGCG